AGUAAUCUACCCUCGAGUGGGGAAUAACGUUCGGAAACGGACGCUAAUACCGCAUAACGCAGCGGCACCGCAAGGUGACAGUUGUUAAAGGAGCAAUCCGCUUGAGGAGGAGCUUGCGGCAGAUUAGCUAGUUGGUAGGGUAAUGGCUUACCAAGGCUACGAUCUGUAUCCGGUCUAAGAGGACGGUCGGACACACUGACACUGAAUAACGGGUCAGACUCCUACGGGAGGCAGCAGUCGGGAAUUUUGGGCAAUGGGCGAAAGCCUGACCCAGCAACGCCGCGUGAAGGAUGAAGUAUUUCGGUAUGUAAACUUCGAAAGAAUAGGAAGAAUAAGUGACGGUACUAUUUAUAAGCUCCGGCUAACUACGUGCCAGCAGCCGCGGUAAUACGUAGGGAGCAAGCGUUGUUCGGAUUUACUGGGCGUAAAGGGCGCGUAGGCGGCGCGGUAAGUCACUUGUGAAAUCUCUGAGCUUAACUCAGAACGGCCAAGUGAUACUGCAGUGCUAGAGUGCAGAAAGGGCAAUCGGAAUUCUUGGUGUAGCGGUGAAAUGCGUAGAUAUCAAGAGGAACACCUGAGGCGAAGGCGGGUUGCUAGGCUGACACUGACGCUGAGGCGCGAAAGCCAGGGGAGCAAACGGGAUUAGAUACCCCGGUAGUCCUGGCCCUAAACGAUGAAUACUUGGUGUCUGGAGUUUCAAUACUCCGGGUGCCGUCGCUAACGUUUUAAGUAUUCCGCCUGGGGAGUACGCUCGCAAGAGUGAAACUCAAAGGAAU
rnacentral:rRNA from 1 species